rnacentral:misc_RNA from 1 species
GUUUAUAAAAACGAACCCGACUGCUCUCUCGCAAGGGAAGAGCGUUCAACUGGGCGCUCGUAUCCAAUCUCUCUUGCUCUCUCUCUUUGUCUCUCCUCUUUCUCCUCGCGAGUUUAGAGAGAAGAUAAGUGGGGGGGAGUAUAGCAGUGUGCGUGAUACGUCGCCUCAAACGAAACGCAAGAGAAAAGAUGAAUUCGUUCGUCUGGCUGGCGCGCGCUUACCGCUUGGAGAGUACGACCGUGCGAAAGCGCGCGAGUACUUCCGAUCGUUCUGCGUCGAGUCCCGGAGCUUCUCGCCUCGUCGAGCAGCGGACCGACCUGCAGUACACGAUCAGGCUCGUCCGUGAUUCGGUACAAUAGAAAGGCGCGCGCGCACACGUCGCGUAUGAAUUGUUAUUUUUUAUUUUUAUUUAAAAUAAUCAUAUUUAUACACGAUUAAGGCAAGGCACGGCUAUGCUGCUGCUGCGGCUGCUGCUGCUGCUGGCUAGCUCGAACGUAACGAUCUUUUUUCUCGAU